UAUAUGUUGUUGACAGAAGAUAGAGAGCACAGAUGAUGAUAUGCAAAAAUUUCAUCAAUCAUUAUUAUUAAUAUCAUUCUUUGUUUUUUAGGGUUUAGAACUUUAGAGAGAGACAUUAUUAUCCUUAUCACUAUGCAUUUCACUCCAUUUGUGCUCUCUAUGCUUCUGUCAUCACUCUCUUC